UUCUCCAGUGGCAUUGAGUGAGACGAGUGAGAGUAGAAGAAAUCGUGGUUGUUGACAAUCAGAUGUCUAUGAUGACCAGUUGAUAUCAAGAAAUGCGAAUUCCUCCAAAAGGAUAAAGGAGGAAAGCUGAUAAUCGCAUAUACGAAUAAUAAGAGAUAAGCAAGAGUAGAAAAAGAUCUGAGGAUAGAUAACCCCGGCCCGGUAGGCCAGUACGUUAGAAAUUAGAAUGACUAAUUUGUAGGAUCUGAUAGCCUAAUGACAUGAACACCCCAAUAACUCGUCAAUUUAACACUGACCUCAUGAAUGGAGAUACCUUUAUGGCUGCUGAAAUCCCGG
rnacentral:lncRNA from 1 species